rnacentral:rRNA from 1 species
UACGUAGGGUCCGAGCGUUGUCCGGAAUUAUUGGGCGUAAAGGGCUCGUAGGCGGUUUGUCGCGUCGGGAGUGAAAUCCACUGGCUUAACUGGUGGCUUGCUUUCGAUACGGGCAGACUGGAGGUAUGCAGGGGGAGAACGGAAUUCCUGGUGUAGCGGUGAAAUGCGCAGAUAUCAGGAGGAACACCGGUGGCGAAGGCGGUUCUCUGGGCAUGUCCUGACGCUGAGGAGCGAAAGUGUGGGGAGCGAACAGG